UGUCCCCUACUGCGUGCGGUGUCAGCUUCCCCGCGGAAGUCCCGGCUGCGAGGGAAGAAGAUGGCAACCACUGCGGCGCUCCCUGGGGCUGCGGCCGGCCGAGCGAACAAACGUGGCGGCGGCGCGGGCGGCGGAGGCACCCAAGGUGCGGAGGAGGAGCCGCCGCCGCCCCUGCAGGCCGUCCUAGUGGCGGAUAGCUUCAACCGCCGCUUCUUCCCCAUCUCCAAGGACCAGCCUCGGGUCCUCUUGCCCCUGGCCAAUGUGGCGCUAAUUGACUACACUCUGGAAUUCCUGACUGCCACAGGUGUGCAGGAAACAUUUGUCUUUUGCUGCUGGAAGGCUGCUCAGAUCAAAGAACACUUGCUGAAAUCCAAAUGGUGCCAUCCUACAUCCCUCAACGUUGUUCGAAUAAUUACAUCAGAGCUAUACCGAUCACUAGGAGAUGUCCUCCGUGACGUGGAUGCCAAGGCCUUGGUGCGCUCUGACUUUCUUCUGAUAUAUGGAGAUGUCAUCUCAAAUAUCAAUAUUACCAGAGCCCUAGAGGAACACAGGUUAAGACGGAAGCUAGAAAAAAAUGUGUCUGUGAUGACAAUGAUCUUCAAAGAGUCAUCCCCCAGCCACCCUACACGCUGCCACGAGGACAACGUGGUGGUAGCUGUGGAUAGUACCACCAACCGGAUUCUGCAUUUCCAGAAGACCCAAGGCCUCCGGCGAUUUUCAUUUCCCUUGAACCUGUUCCAGAGCAGCAGAGAUGGAGUGGAGAUUCGGUAUGACUUACUGGACUGUCACAUCAGCAUCUGCUCUCCUCAGGUAGCUCAACUCUUCACAGACAAUUUUGACUACCAAACUCGAGAUGAUUUUGUGCGAGGCCUAUUAGUGAAUGAGGAGAUCCUAGGAAACCAGAUCCACUUGCAUGUGACAUCUAGGGAGUAUGGUGCCCGGGUCUCCAACCUACACAUGUACUCAGCUAUCUGUGCUGACGUCAUCCGCCGAUGGGUCUACCCUCUCACUCCAGAAGUGAACUUCACCGACAGCACCACGCAGAGCUACACUCAUUCCCGGCACAACAUCUACCGAGGGCCUCAAGUCAGCCUGGGCCACGGCAGCGUUCUGGAGGAAAAUGUGCUCCUGGGAGCUGGCACUGUCAUUGGCAGCAACUGCUCCAUCUCCAACAGUGUCAUUGGCCCCGACUGCCACAUUGGUGAUAAUGUGGUCCUGGACCAGGCCUACCUGUGGCAGGGAGUCCGCGUGGCUGCUGGAUCACAGAUACACCAGUCUCUGCUCUGUGACAAAGCUGAGGUCAAGGAGCGGGUCACACUGAAGCCACACUGUGUCCUCACUUCCCAGGUGGUUGUGGGCCCAGAUAUCACCCUGCCUGAGGGCUCGGUGAUCUCUCUGCACCCUCCAGAUGCAGAGGAAGAGGAAGAUGAUGGCCAGUUCAGUGAUGAUUCUGGGGCUGACCAGGAAAAGGAGAAAGUGAGGCUGAAAGGUUACAACCCAGCAGAAGUAGGCUUUGAAGGGCAGGGAUACCUCUGGAGAGCUGCAGAUGUGAGCAUGACGGAAGAGGAGGAGCUGCGGCAGAGUCUGUGGGGACUCACAAUCAAUGUGGAAGACGAAAGUGAAACUGAAAGUGAGGGAAGUGUGGAUUCUGAGGAGCUGGACAGCCGAGCGGGAUCCCCUCAAUUGGACGACAUCAAAGUAUUCCAGAAUGAGGUCCUGGGAACGCUGCAGCGAGGCAAAGAGGAGAAUAUUUCCUGUGACAAUCUAGUCCUGGAGAUCAACUCUCUCAAGUAUGCCUACAACAUUAGCCUAAAGGAGGUGAUGCAGGUCCUCAGUCAUGUGGUCCUGGAGUUCCCCCUGCAGCAGAUGGAUUCCCUGCUUGACCCAAACCGCUACUGUGCCCUGCUGCUUCCUGAAGUUAAGGCAAAAGGAUCACUGGAGCCUAGCCAGGAUAACACAGCAAAAUUCCAUCUCAAGACCAAAGUCUAAAACAACAUGAAGAAUAGACCUGGUGUUACAGAGCCCACAAUGAUUUGACCCAGAACAAGAUUAACCCCUGGCUGGGGAUAGGUAUUUUGAGACAGCAUCUGUCUGACCCACUUUUCCCUUCCCUGAGAAAGGUAAUUCUUUCCAACCUCUCAUUGGAACAGUUCUAAAUGCCUCUUACAUGAUUCUGUAAUGCCUACAUCAUCUCCCUCUUGUCCUUCCAUGUCAUCAAUAUUGAUUGUCUUUGCUGUUCAGCUUCGGGAGCAUGCUAAGGAACAUACCACAGUUCAUUUCCCCCUUCCCCUCCUUUUCCCAUAGCUGCUCAAAGCCUGGAGCCCUGUUUUUAAGAACUACAUAAAGCGUGCAGCUGACCAUUUGGAAGCACUGGCAGCCAUUGAGGACUUCUUCCUGGAACACGAAACUCUUGUUACUUCCCUGGCCAAGGUUCUGAUGGCCUUUUACCAGCUGGAGAUCUUGGCUGAGGAAACAAUCUUGAGCUGGUUCAGUCAAAGAGACGUAACUGACAAAGGCCAGCAGUUGCGCAAGAAUGGACAGCUGCAGAGGUUCAUCCAAUGGCUAAAAGAGGCAGAAGAGGAAUCAUCUGAGGAUGACUGACGCUGACUGCCGGUUCCCAUGGUGUGUUAUUGGUUGCCCUCCUAACAGAUGAGGCGGAACAAGAAAGCUAGCUGCAGAAUCAUGAAUGGCUGCUACAGACCGAGACUUAACAGAAGUUGCAACUACAGUGUUCUUCCUACUGCUGGCAGCCGUGUGCUUCUCGUCCUGACUGACGUUGGGAUGCGGGAGGUUAGGAAAAUUUAGACAGCCCUGCAGUUGGAGGUAGGCCAGAGGAAGCCCUUUGUUCUCCAGCUUCCCUCAGGACAGUAAAGAGCAGCUGGCCCUCUCUCUGGUUUGUAUUUGUUAAUAUUAAAAAGAGGGGUGUUCGGG